rnacentral:RNase_P_RNA from 1 species
CGAGUUGGCCGGGUGAUCGCGGCACGAAAGUGUCGAGGAAAGUCCGGGCUCCACAGGGCUGAGGUGGUGGGUAACGCCCACCCGGGGUGACCCGCGGGACAGUGCCACAGAAAACAGACCGCCUCGAGCAAUCGAGGUAAGGGUGAAACGGUGGUGUAAGAGACCACCAGCGCGGCAGGUGACUGCUGCGGCUAGGUAAACCCCACCUGGAGCAAGGCCAAGAGGAUCGCUUGCGAUCUGCGCAGACGAGCUGCCCGCUCAAUGUCUGUGGGUAGGCCGCACCAGGCCACUGGCAACAGUGGUCGCAGAUGGAUGAUCACCCUCGGCUAUGCCGAGACAGAACCCGGCUUACAGGCCAACUCGUCCC